rnacentral:rRNA from 1 species
GACGAACGCUGGCGGCGUGGAUUAGGCAUGCAAGUCGAACGGUAUCAUCCUUUCGGGGGUGAGAGAGUGGCGAACUGGUGAGUAACACGUAGGUUAUCUACCCUCAAGACGGGGACAACCCAGGGAAACUUGGGCUAAUACCGGAUGUGAGCAACUUUUAGUUGUUUGAAAGGUGGCGUAAGCUGUCGCUUGGGGAUGAGCCUGCGUCCUAUUAGUUAGUUGGUGAGGUAACGGCUCACCUAGGCAAUGAUAGGUAGGCGGCCUUAACGGGUGGUCGCCCACACUGGGAUUGAGAUACGGCCCAGACUCCUACGGGAGGCAGCAGUCGAGAAUAGUCUACAAUGGUCGGAAGACUGAUAGUGCGACGCCGCGUGAACGAUGAAUCCCUUCGGGGUUAAAGUUCUUUUAUAUGUGAGCAGUGCUUCUUAUAUUAACAGUAUGGGGAGAGAGAUAUUAGCAUAUGAAUAAGCAACGGCUAACUCCGUGCCAGCAGCCGACGGUAAAA